rnacentral:rRNA from 1 species
CUGGCGGCGUGCUUAACACAUGCAAGUCGAACGAGAAGCUCACUUCGGUGAGUGGACAGUGGCAGACGGGUGAGUAACGCGUGGCAACCUACCCUUCACUACGGGACAACAGUUGGAAACGACUGCUAAUACCGUAUACGUCCUCCGGGAGAAAGAUUUAUCGGUGAUGGAUGGGGCCGCGUUAGAUUAGCUUGUUGGUGAGGUAAUGGCUCACCAAGGCGACGAUCUAUAGCUGGUCUGAGAGGAUGAUCAGCCACACUGGGACUGAGACACGGCCCAGACUCCUACGGGAGGCAGCAGUGGGGAAUAUUGGACAAUGGGCGCAAGCCUGAUCCAGCAACGCCGCGUGAAUGAUGAAGGCCUUAGGGUUGUAAAAUUCUUUCGCUAGGGAAGAUAAUGACUGUACCUAGUAAAGAAGCCCCGGCUAACUCCGUGCCAGCAGCCGCGGUAAUACGGAGGGGGCUAGCGUUGUUCGGAAUUACUGGGCGUAAAGCGUGCGUAGGCGGAUUAAUAAGUUAGAUGUGAAAUCCCAGGGCUCAACCCUGGAACUGCAUUUAAAACUGUUAGUCUUGAGUUCUGGAGAGGUAAGUGGAAUUGCUAGUGUAGAGGUGAAAUUCGUAGAUAUUAGCAGGAACACCAGAGGCGAAGGCGGCUUACUGGACAGAUACUGACGCUGAGGCACGAAAGUGUGGGGAGCAAACAGGAUUAGAUACCCUGGUAGUCCACACCGUAAACUAUGAGAGCUAGUUGUCUGCAUGCAUGCAUGUAGGUGACGCAGCUAACGCAUUAAGCUCUC